rnacentral:lncRNA from 1 species
GGGUUACUGCGCCCUGCAUGAGGCUUGUGCGAGGGGGUGGCUCAACAUCGUGCGACACCUGCUCGAGUACGGCGCGGACGUCAACUGCAGUGCCCAGGACGGAACCAGACCUCUCCAUGAUGCCGUUGAGAACGAUCACUUGGAAAUUGUCCGCUUGCUCCUCUCCUAUGGUGCUGACCCCACUCUGGCUACGUACUCAGGUAGAACCAUCAUGAAGAUGACCCACAGCGAACUGAUGGAGAAGUUUUUAACAGAUUAUUUAAAUGACCUACAGGG